rnacentral:rRNA from 1 species
UGGGGAAUAUUGGACAAUGGGGGAAACCCUGAUCCAGCGACGCCGCGUGACUGAAGAAGUAUUUCGGUAUGUAAAGGUCUAUCAGCAGGGAAGAAAAUGACGGUACCUGACUAAGAAGCCCCGGCUAACUACGUGCCAGCAGCCGCGGUAAUACGUAGGUG